CCAGCCCCGGGUGCAAUCCAGGCAAGCAAACCUGAAGCAUGCACCGGGGCUGCCCGACCCCAGGGAUUUGGCCUCUGCAGGGACAUUCCGAGAAUCUGUGGUUUUCAACAAUGCCCGGGGGCCUCUCUGCAUCUGUAAAGAACUCGGGAGCUGUCGGCCGGCCAAGGAGCCCGCUCUGUGGUGAUGGAUGAAUUGCUGUCACAAAGGGGCUUCCCUGCUCGUGUCUCAGAGUGUCACUAGCGGGGGAUUAGUAAGAAGGAAGCCACAGAGAGCGAGUGAUUUACGGGAUCCGGGUUCACGGGGACACCCUGAGAGAGGCACUCGCCAGCCAGCCAGCCAGCCGGCCGCCGGCAGGAUCCGCAUUCCUGAGCUGUCCACGUUUCAACGCUGCCACUGCCCGGGGCCAGGACAGAGUCCUCCGAGAGCCCAUCUGCCGGGCUGGAAGGGGUUCCAGGGGAAACCGGAUACGUGGAGCACAAAGAUGAGCCACGCUGGACAGGGACCCCCCCCACCAGAGAAGUUCAGCAGAGACGCACGCAUCUAUGCAAAACCCGAUCGAGACGCGCUGCAAAGACAUGGAAAUUGCUCCCAAGGAAGGAGGUACCAACCCCAAAUUGAUCCUCUCCACGUGUUUGGAAAUCCCAGCCGGAACCGCAGGCAAGGACCGGAACGUGCAGUGGACCUCGCUGGGCACGUAGCAGGAGCAAGGGUGAGGACAGGCCCGCGCGGCUGGCGGCUGGCCCCAGGCCACCAUCAGCACCACGGAGAGUGCCCCCCACUGCGCCUGCGUCAGCAUCCUGGGCGGGUGCGGGGUCCCGGGACACCUGCGGGGCGAGAAGGCGAGAGGGUCUUACUUUCCGGGGCAGCGUAGUAGACCUGGUGUCGUGACCUGUCCACGUUCUCUUUAGUCAGGAGGGUAGAAAAAUGACCUUCAGUCUUGACAUUGAUGGUUGGAUUUGGAAACACGGAGAUAUAUUGACGUUUUUUGCAAAAUAAUAAAGAUAAUGAUAAUCAA